ensembl:lncRNA
GGCGGGGCUUACGGAGCGGUCCUCUGGUGACGCGGCCGGCCCUUGGGUCGGUCAUGAUCCUGGGUCCUGAGAGCUGGGUGGGGCCGUCAUGAAGGGUUACCUGGCUGUAGGGCGCGUGCUCCCCGAGGACGUGGGCCGUGCUUCUUCCAGGAGGGCUGGCCCCGGGCCUGCUUAGGGGAGAUGGGCCGGCGGGGACUUGCUCUUGCGGCCCCGGCGUGGUUGGUGUAGAGCAGAGGGGGAGGCCGUUCCCCCGCGGGGCGCUUUUGUAAGAGAGUCUCAGGUCUGGACUCCCCCGUGCGUGUCGCCCGCUCAGGCCCGGCCCGUGAGAAGUGCGGCCCAGGGUGGAAGGACCGGCUGCUCCUGGGCUGGGCGCCGGGAAGCCGAAGCCGGCCGGAACUACGGCGGGGAGGCGUGUGGGAGAGGCUCCGGCCUCCGCCUCCCAGGCUCCAGAGCAGCGCGGCCGACAGACGCGGGCAGGGGAGGGCCUCGAGGCGGAGCGCUGUGGGGUCCACGUGUCAGAGAAGCCCUUAGUGCUCUGGGAGGACGGGCCUCGGAGCGCCGCGGGCAGGGGGGCUGUUCACCACGCGUCCCCCUCGGACAGAACAGCAGGUGUGAGGAAGCCCACGGCAGCCACACCAGGGGCAGGUGUGAGUGCAGUAGCUCCUGCCUCGUUUCGACACCAGAGAAGCCAGGCUGGAGAAGAGCCUUCUGAGCGCACACCGUGGGAAGAAUGCGUUCAGAGAAGGAUACACGCUUUUUUGCCAACAAAAGCUUCAUAGCAGAAAGGCCUGAUGAAUGCAGUAACUAUCAGAGAAUCUUCAGUCGUAUGUCUAAGUUCAUUCAGCAGCAGGAAGUGUAUACCAGAGAAAGCCUCUUUGAGUUCACGGAAUGAAAGCUUUCUGCCAAAGUUGAGCCCCAAUUUACGCUGAAAAGUUCACAGCCCGAAAAAGCGCUCGGAGUGCAGCAAACGUGGGAAAGCCUCCUGCCCAAACGUCCAACUUGUGCUGCACAAAAGCCUGGGCCCCCUCGCUGCCCUCCCUGUGUGUCGUGUGUCUGCAUUCUGCACGGACCAAACCUCCCUGUGGGCAGGAACUCCCGCUCAAGCAAAAAGAGCAGCCUUCUCCCAGAUCAACAAGACGACUCCUUAAAAGGUAGCAUUCCCUCCUGAUCUGAAGGGGUCACACGACCACUGGGGUGACACCUAGAUCUGGACCAUGUGAGCUGUCAGUAGUCAGUCAUUCGAUGUAUAGCCCGCUGUCUCAAGCUGAGUCUUGAUUUCUAAUCCACC